rnacentral:misc_RNA from 1 species
UGGUUCUGGCAUCGAUGAAGAACGCAGCGAAAUGCGAUAAGUAAUGUGAAUUGCAGAAUUUAGUGAAUCAUCGAAUCUUUGAACGCACAUUGCGCCUUUUGGUAUUCCGAGAGGCAUUCCUGUUCGAGCGUCGUUUUCAUACUUCAAGCAGAAGCUUGGUGUUGAGGUAUUUCGAAUAGAAAGCCUCGAAACUCUUUGGCACCUUCUGUCGAAGUCCAACGUGACAGAAAUCAUCUCGUUCGGCAUCUGCAGAUCAGGUCAGCCUUGUAUACGAAUUCAUGACCUCGGAUCAGGAAGGGUUACCCGCUGA